rnacentral:misc_RNA from 1 species
UCUCCGUAGGUGAACCUGCGGAGGGAUCAUUACAGAGUUCUCGCCCUCGCGGGUAGAUCUCCCACCCACUGUUAUCGUUACUGUGUUGCUUUGGCGGGCCGCCGAGCCCCGCUCGGCCGCCGGCUCCGGCUGGCGCGCGCCCGCCAGAGGCCCAGCAAACUCUGAAUGUUAGUGUCGUCUGAGUACUAUAUAAUAGUUAAAACUUUCAACAACGGAUCUCUUGGUUCUG